rnacentral:rRNA from 1 species
CUACACGACCGUACCGCAAACCGACACUGGUGCGCGAGAUGAGUAUUCUAAGGCGCUUGAGAGAACUCAGGAGAAGGAACUCGGCAAAUUGACACCGUAACUUCGGAAGAAGGUGUGCCUUUAGUAGGUGAACCUGUACAAGGGGAGCCCAAUGAGGUUGCAAAAAAUCGGUGGCUGCGACUGUUUAAUAAAAACACAGCACUCUGCAAACACGAAAGUGGACGUAUAGGGUGUGACGCCUGCCCGGUGCUGGAAGAUUAAAUGAUGGGGUGCAAGCUCUUGAUUGAAGUCCCAGUAAACGGCGGCCGUAACGAUAACGGUCCUAAGGUAGCGAAAUUCCUUGUCGGGUAAGUUCCGACCUGCACGAAUGGCGUAACGAUGGCCACACUGUCUCCUCCUGAGACUCAGCGAAGUUGAAAUGUUUGUGAUGAUGCAAUCUCCCCGCGGAAAGACGGAAAGACCCCAUGAACCUUUACUGUAGCUUUGUAUUGGACUUUGAACAGAUCUGUGUAGGAUAGGUGGGAGGCUUUGAAGUGUGGUCGCUAGAUCGCAUGGAGCCAACGUUGAAAUACCACCCUGGUGUGUUUGAGGUUCUAACCUAGGCCCGUAAUCCGGGUCGGGGACAGUGCAUGGUAGGCAGUUUGACUGGGGCGGUCUCCUCCCAAAGCGUAACGGAGGAGUUCGAAGGUACGCUAGGUACGGUCGGACAUCGUGCUAAUAGUGCAAUGGCAUAAGCGUGCUUAACUGCGAGACUGACAAGUCGAGCAGAUGCGAAAGCAGGACAUAGUGAUCCGGUGGUUCUGUAUGGAAGGGCCAUCGCUCAACGGAUAAAAGGUACUCUGGGGAUAACAGGCUGAUACCGCCCAAGAGUUCAUAUCGACGGCGGUGUUUGGCACCUCGAUGUCGGCUCAUCUCAUCCUGGGGCUGUAGCCGGUCCCAAGGGUAUGGCUGUUCGCCAUUUAAAGAGGUACGUGAGCUGGGUUUAAAACGUCGUGAGACAGUUUGGUCCCUAUCUUCCGUGGGCGCUGCAGAUUUGAGGAAGCCUGCUCCUAGUACGAGAGGACCGGAGUGGACACACCUCUGGUGUAUCGGUUGUCACGCCAGUGGCAUUGCCGAGUAGCUAUGUGUGGAAGAGAUAACCGCUGAAAGCAUCUAAGCGGGAAACUCGUUUCAAGAUGAGAUCUGCCGGGGCCUUGAGCCCCCUAAAGAGUCGUUCAAGACCAGGACGUUGAUAGGUCGGGUGUGGAAGCGCAGUAAUGCGUUAAGCUAACCGAUACUAAUUGCUCGUGCGGCUUGACCCU